UACGUAGGUGGCAAGCGUUGUCCGGAUUUACUGGGCGUAAAGAGCGCGCAGGCGGUCGAAUAAGUCGAGUGUGAAAGCCCCCGGCUCAACUGGGGAGGGUCACUCGAUACUGAUCGACUUGAGGGCGGGAGAGGGAAGCGGAAUUCCCGGUGUAGUGGUGAAAUGCGUAGAUAUCGGGAGGAACACCAGUGGCGAAGGCGGCUUUCUGGCCCGUUCUUGACGCUGAGGCGCGAAAGCUAGGGUAGCAAACGGG
rnacentral:rRNA from 1 species